rnacentral:rRNA from 1 species
UACGAAGGGGGGCUAGCGUUGUUCGGAGUUACUGGGCGUAAAGGGCGCGUAGGCGGCGCACCAAGUCAGGCGUGAAAGCCCUGGGCUCAACCCGGGAAUUGCGCUUGAGACUGGUGUGCUUGAGUACGGGAGAGGAUAGUGGAAUUCCCAGUGUAGAGGUGAAAUUCGUAGAUAUUGGGAAGAACACCGGUGGCGAAGGCGGCUAUCUGGACCGUAACUGACGCUGAGGCGCGAAAGCGUGGGGGAGCAAACA